rnacentral:rRNA from 1 species
GGUAAACGGAAUGCUAAUACCGAUAUUAUGCUUUCUUCGCAUGGAGGAAGUAUGAAAGCUAUAUGCGCUAUGAGAGAGCUUUGCGUCCCAUUAGCUAGUUGGUAAGGUAACGGCCCCACCAAGGCGAUGAUGGGUAGCCGGCCUGAGAGGGUGAACGGCCACAAGGGGACUGAGACACGGCCCUUACUCCUACGGGAGGCAGCAGAA